GGAAGAAUAGCUCAGUUGGUUAGAGUAUAGACCUGUCACGUCUAGGGUCGCGGGUUCAAUUCCCGUUUCUUCCG
rnacentral:tRNA from 1 species